AUCACAGGUGUUACCCGGGACACAUUCUAGGUCUUAUUUUAGCUUUAGCAGCUCAUUUGCGCACCGGUAAGUGCUAAACUUGUUUCCAUUUUUGCCACUGGUGACUGUGGACUGGUGGUGGUUGUUGCUAUUUUUUUUUUGUAAAUUUUCCCUAGACACUUUAGCACCUGUCAAAUCAGGAGCUGGUCGGUAUUCAUAUUUGACUCCUGGCUCGCUUUUUUAACACCCAGGAGCAAGAUAACACCUGGUUCGAAACCUUGCGGUGCGCAAUCGAAGUGUCAAAAUGGAGUGUUAUUAUAGCUUUGACACCUGACCGCUGCUGAUACUCUAAGAAAACUUAUCCUCGACUGAUCCGGAAAACACAAUCGAAAGGCACGGAAUGCGGAUUGUUUCCGAUUUUUUUGGUGAUUAAGUGUUGGUGUGAAAUUCGGUUUGUGUUGUGCAAAAUGAAAUUUAGAAUAAAAUUCUUUAUAAAGAAA